rnacentral:misc_RNA from 1 species
UUAAGUUCAGCGGGUAUCCCUACCUGAUCCGAGGUCAAUUCAUUGAAAGUGUGGGGUUGCUGGCGAGCCCACGAUGAGGUUUGCAGAGCGGGAGAAAAUUACUACGCUUGAAACCACCGCGGGCCGCCAAUGCUUUUCGGGCACGCCGGGGGAGGCGAGGGCCCAAUACCAAGCUACGCUUGAGGGGUGCAAUGACGCUC